AUUGAACGCUGGCGGCAGGCUUAACACAUGCAAGUCGAGCGGUAACAGAAAUAGCUUGCUAUUUGCUGACGAGCGGCGGACGGGUGAGUAAUGCUUGGGAAUAUGCCUUAUGGUGGGGGACAACAGUUGGAAACGACUGCUAAUACCGCAUAAUGUCUACGGACCAAAGGGGGGGAUCUUCGGACCUCUCGCCAUUUGAUUAGCCCAAGUGAGAUUAGCUAGUUGGUAAGGUAAUGGCUUACCAAGGCGACGAUCUCUAGCUGGUUUGAGAGGAUGAUCAGCCACACUGGGACUGAGACACGGCCCAGACUCCUACGGGAGGCAGCAGUGGGGAAUAUUGCACAAUGGGGGAAACCCUGAUGCAGCCAUGCCGCGUGUGUGAAGAAGGCCUUCGGGUUGUAAAGCACUUUCAGUUGUGAGGAAAGGUGUGUAGUUAAUAGCUGCAUACUGUGACGUUAACAACAGAAGAAGCACCGGCUAACUUCGUGCCAGCAGCCGCGGUAAUACGAGGGGUGCAAGCGUUAAUCGGAAUUACUGGGCGUAAAGCGUUCGAGGCGGUUGAAUAAGCAAGAUGUAAAAGCCCAGGGCUCAACCUUGGAACUGCAUUUUGAACUGUUCGACUAGAGUACUGUAGAGGGGGGUAGAAUUUCA
rnacentral:rRNA from 1 species